CCCCUCUCGGCUCCCCGCCCCCCCGCCUUUACCCACCGCGACGCCGCGGCCACCCAGCUCCUCUGCUCGCGCGGGCCGGGCUAGGCCGGAGCUGCAGCCCGAGACCGGCGGGAGGCGGUGCCACUUCCAAAAUGUCGCAGACGGCCAUGUCCGAAACCUACGAUUUUUUGUUUAAGUUCCUAGUAAUUGGAAAUGCAGGAACUGGCAAAUCUUGCUUACUUCAUCAGUUUAUUGAAAAAAAAUUCAAAGAUGAUUCAAAUCAUACAAUAGGAGUGGAAUUUGGCUCGAAGAUAAUAAAUGUUGGUGGUAAAUAUGUAAAGUUACAAAUAUGGGAUACAGCAGGCCAAGAACGAUUCAGGUCUGUGACAAGAAGUUACUACAGAGGUGCAGCAGGGGCUCUUCUGGUCUAUGACAUCACCAGCCGAGAAACCUACAAUGCGCUUACUAAUUGGUUAACAGAUGCCAGAAUGCUAGCGAGUCAGAACAUCGUGAUCAUCCUCUGUGGGAACAAGAAGGACCUGGAUGCUGAUCGUGAAGUCACUUUCCUAGAAGCAUCCAGAUUUGCUCAAGAAAAUGAGCUGAUGUUUUUGGAAACAAGUGCACUAACAGGGGAAAAUGUAGAAGAAGCCUUUGUACAGUGUGCAAGAAAAAUACUUAACAAAAUUGAAUCAGGUGAACUGGACCCAGAAAGAAUGGGCUCAGGUAUUCAGUAUGGAGAUACUGCCUUGAGACAACUGCGGUCCCCACGUCGCUCACAGGCUCCAAGUGCUCAGGAGUGUGGUUGUUAGAAUCAGCACAGGAGUACACAGGAUUAUCACUGGGUGCCAGCACUAUGAAUCCACUGUUCCUGGUAGCCAUUUUUUGUUUGUUUGUUUGUUUUGGAUAGGACAUUGAGAGAAGAGGAAGAGAUAGACACUUGCAGACCUGCUUUGCCACUUGUGAAGCUUCCCUCUUGCAGAUCUACAGAGUGAGCACGUUGCCUUUGAGUAGCCAGUCUCCUUUUUUCCACCUGUCUUCUGUUCUUGGCUCGCAAUGCUGAUUCAUGAAUCUAAAAAUAAUUAAAAAAAAAAAACAUAAUAACUU